GCUUUCAUGGUGUAAUGGUCAGCACACUUAGUCCGUAUUCGAGAGGUCCGAGGUUCGAGUCCCGGCGAGGGCA
rnacentral:tRNA from 1 species